rnacentral:rRNA from 1 species
CGCGGCCUAUCAGCUUGUUGGUGAGGUAAUGGCUCACCAAGGCGACGACGGGUAGCCGGCCUGAGAGGGCGACCGGCCACACUGGGACUGAGACACGGCCCUGACUCCUACGGGAGGCAGCAGUGGGGAAUAUUGCACAAUGGGCGAAAGCCUGAUGCAGCGACGCCGCGUGAGGGAUGACGGCCUUCGGGUUGUAAACCUCUUUCAGCAGGGAAGAAGCGAAAGUGACGGUACCUGCAGAAGAAGCGCCGGCUAACUACGUGCCAGCAGCCGCGGUAAUACGUAGGGCGCAAGCGUUGUCCGGAAUUAUUGGGCGUAAAGAGCUCGUAGGCGGUCUGUCGCGUCGGAUGUGAAAGCCCGGGGCUUAACCCCGGGUCUGCAUUCGAUACGGGCAGACUAGAGUGUGGUAGGGGAGAUCGGAAUUCCUGGUGUAGCGGUGAAAUGCGCAGAUAUCAGGAGGAACACCGGUGGCGAAGGCGGAUCUCUGGGCCAUUACUGACGCUGAGGAGCGAAAGCGUGGGGAGCGAACAGGAUUAGAUACCCUGGUAGUCCACGCCGUAAACGGUGGGAACUAGGUGUUGGCGACAUUCCACGUCGUCGGUGCCGCAGCUAACGCAUUAAGUUCCCCGCC